rnacentral:rRNA from 1 species
AUUGAACGCUGGCGGCAGGCUUAACACAUGCAAGUCGAGCGGGGUGAUGGUGCUUGCACUAUCACUUAGCGGCGGACGGGUGAGUAAUGCUUAGGAAUCUGCCUAUUAGUGGGGGACAGCAUCUCGAAAGGGAUGCUAAUACCGCAUACGUCCUACGGGAGAAAGCAGGGGAUCACUCGUGAACUUGCGCUAAUAGACGAGACUAAGUCGGAUUGGCUAGUGGGUGGGGUAAAGGCCUACCAAGGCGACGAUCUGUAGCGGUUCUGAGAGGAUGAUCCGCCACACUGGGACUGAGACACGGCCCAGACUCCUACGGGAGGCAGCAGUGGGGAAUAUUGGACAAUGGGGGGAACCCUGAUCCAGCCAUGCCGCGUGUGUGAAGAAGGCCUUAUGGUUGUAAAGCACUUUAAGCGAGGAGGAGGCUCUUUUGGUUAAUACCCAAGAUGAGUGGACGUUACUCGCAGAAUAAGCACCGGCUAACUCUGUGCCAGCAGCCGCCGUAA